GGCUGAAUGCGGACUAGCAUGAGAGUAAGGGGGCCUCUACAUGUUCAUGGUCUUUACCUUUAGGAAAAUGUUGCCUUGUCCAGGAAGUGAGGGGUGACGCCGUACACCCGGUGUCAGACAGCUGUGUGGCAACUCUUCACCCCACACCUGCUGCAGAAACUACGCAGCGCCGGUGUGUGUUGGGUCGGUGAUAAUGCUUUGAUGCUCUCUGCGCCCUGGAGGAGCGUGAAGCCGGAGGUUGCUAAGUGGAAGUGCAGGUGCUGCUGCUUCUUGCACAAACUGCAGUUGUAAUCCAGGAUUCACGGGCCUGUAGGGGCUCAGACUUCAAAUUGAACCGCGCCUCGGCGGCAGCCACAGGUGUAAUACACGAGGCCCAGGUACCAGAAGGUGUCCAGCAGGGCCUUGGCGGCGCCCUAGCAGCUGAGGUCCAGCCGCUGCGCGCCCAGGUUCAUCUCAUUAGUGGACGCCGCGGGCCCGCGAGUUCGGAGCAGCGCGUGUAUCUGUGGGUCUUUGGGGCUGGCCUCGCUAGCCUACCAGCUUCCUUUCGGUGAUGCUCUUUGCUACCGCCAGGCUCCUGACCCCAGCUUGGACAGCAGGCCGCCGAGCGCCCCUGACGCCCGUUACCGAGAUGGCUGCGCAGAAGGAGUGGCUGUGGGGCUGUGAUCUCUCCUAGAACCUCAGAGGCAUGAAGCUAGAAUAUCUUCCCCUUCAAGGAGAAUAAGCCAAGCUAUGGUUGUUGCGGCCUUUGUUGAUGACAUUCAGCAUUGACUUCUUGGGUAAGGUAUUCAGUAGUUAAGAUUCAAUGACUCCAGUGAAAGGUAUGUUUCCAUCGUGAUGUUCUUCUUCUGGACAAUAAGUGAAAAGAGCAUGUGAGUACCUCUCUCACUCCCAGCAAAUAAUUGUUGUGUCACCUCCACAUGUUUCUUCACGAUUCGAGGCUUUGAUUUCCCCUGCAAGACAAAAUGCAAUGAAGUGAUACAGAAAAAAAGAAAUUCUAUGCUGUCAUCACACUAGACCAUGAUGUUGAUUUAUGGAUGGUCUGCUUUCUUAUAUGCACUUAAUAUUUUUGUACAAGCAAACCUGAAAAGUGUCAAAAUCCCCUUUAACAGAUUAACAGGCUGAGAUGGGUUAAAGUGAGCAAGCCGGGAAGUGGUGGAGCUGGGAUCCACACCCUGGUCUGUCUGAGUCCAGAUGUAAUCAUCUUGCAUUCACUAUGGCAUGUUUCCCUUAUGUUAAGGGUUGCUGACAUAGACAGUGCAUGUCAUUCCUUUUGGUAUGGUCUUCCUCCUUUCUAGCUUUUUUCUGCCUGGAAGAUCCAGGCACCCAAGAGAAUGGAGCUUCCAUGUAAAUUUGCAGAAUCCCUAGGAUGAAAGCGGAGAGGAUCUACCCUGAAACCAACAAGUCUAGGAUGCACAUCUCUGCCUUUUUUUCAGAAUUAGGAAGGGGCAGGCAGAUGGGCAAUUGACAGGAAUAGUAGAAGCAUCCUCGGGGAAGUUGGCUACUUUACUUAGUGAGAAAGCAAUGGAAAGUGACAUUUGUAACUGAGUUUUAAGUGAAGUACAGUCCUAAGAGAGGAGCUCUGAAAAACAGCUGUUACCUGAGAUUGGGAAUGUUAAAGACCUUCUCAGAGCCUGACUGUACUCACAGCUGGACCUAGCUAUCAGAAGAGGGACUGCAACAUACCUGAGAAACUUUCAGAAUACUUAACGGAAGCAGAGUCAGGGGAAGUGAUUUUGAUAGUAGUCCAUGAGAAAAAAAUACGGUGUUUUAAAAUGCAAAUGAACUAAAAUUUAAAUCCUGCUCUCUCAGUAGCUAUGCAGCCUUAGGCGAGUUAAUAUCUUUGACCUUAGUAUUUCUCAGGUGUAAAGAGGGAUAAUUACCUACUCAGAACUUCACCUCUCCCAAGAAAGCUUUCCUGACCAUGUGCUGGCCCUUCCUUUACAUUGGGAUUAAAGUACCCCCCCCCGUUUUUCCAGGCUUUCUUGACUUUAAUUCUGUCAUAGCUCUAAUUAAGAACCUCUGUAAUGAUCUGUCUGCAAGCUUGUGAGAAAUUUGAGGACUGGGAACCAGCCUGAAACAUGUCUGUUCCCCUCUGAGUCAACACAGUGCCUGGGAUCUGGUGUCCAGUAGGGAUUUAAAGCAUAUUGAUUGAAUGAGAAAUGAUGACAGGAUCUACAUGGAUCACAAAGGAUAGUUGUUAUUUUACCUGUUAACUAUUUAAUAGCGAAAUUAAAUGAAAUAUGAAUUAACCUAGGACCAGGGAAGGUGGGGUAAGUUGUGUCUUUCACAUCAACCUUCAUAUGUUCCCCAAUUUUUUCUUCCUUCAUGUACCUAGGACACUCUUGUUCAAACACAAAGGUGGUUUUAUUUUGGGUCUAUACUAGCUAGUUCCCUAGAAAGGUCUUAAAUACAAAAUGAAUGGAAUACAAAAUAACCUCCCUCAUUGUUUUUUUUCCCGGACAAAUGACAGGAUGCAUACAGAACUGCUACUUUUGUGAUGUUGCAAGUAAUGGUAUAGAUGUGCACAAAUCAUGGAUGUGGUCCCAGUGAUCCAUGGAAAUGUGAAGUCCAGGCUCAGGCCAGUUUCGUCAGAAGCAGAACAGGCUUUCCAAGGUCACCAAGCUGUUCUAAACUUCACCGAUUCAUUAGAGAAAGGCAACAAGACAGAGGCAUGUUUGGUAUCAAAAUUGUGAUCAGGAAGAUGGCUGCAUUCCCUGUUCCAUGGUAAAACAUCUCAUACCACCAAUGAACUCAGCCAGUUCUAGAGAGAUUUCCACCAUGAUAGAACGUUUCUGACUGUGGGCUCAGGGCCAGCCAUUCUCUGGGAGUGCAAGAUGGAAAAAUAUGAGGCUUCCCUUUCCUCUUUUCAAUCUUUUUCCAGGUUAUUUAUUUCGCGGCAAGUUUGAAAAUCAGUAGUUCUGUUAGGAGUUUUCCUACACUACAAUAGUAUAUCCUAUGAGUGAAUAGCCAUCACAAUCUUAGAUUCUUUCCCUUUAGCUUUGAUCAAAUAGCUUUUACUACCAAGCUACAUCGCAGAAGGAAGCAUCCUUGAUUUUUGUGUCAGAUGAACUUCUCAUUGUGUAGAAUUCACAAAAUUCUAAUAAAGAAAUUAUAUUGUGGGAAAAUGGUAUUGCUUUACUGCAAUAUCAGAAUAUAUAAUAAUUGCUUUUUCAGGGCCCACUAUGUAUCAGGUGUUUUAUAUAUCUUACUGAUAGUUUUCUUAAAAUCCCUGUGACGUACGAAUCUUUCUUCCAGUUUCACAGAUGAGGAAAUUUAGGCUCAGAAGGAUAGAUUACUUGUCCCUGUUCACACAGCUCGGAGGUGCAGAGCUGGGAUUUAAGAGGCAUGCAUCACAAUCCAUUGCCUACAUUGGUCAGCGGUAUUCCUACAUUUUACAUAGUCUUGGAAAGAAAUCCCUGUGUCUCUGAAAGUCACUAAUGUAAAUUUUAAAAUUCCAUACUGCUGUUAUGUCAUCCUUCUAUUUUAGAGUUUGACUUAUGACAAACGGUAUUUUUCCUUUCCUGUGAAAUAUUUAGUUUAGUUUACAACAAUAUAUUUAGGGUUGGCAGCUUUGAAAAUGUGUAUAUAUGAAUAAGUUAAAUAAUGUUGAUUUACCCCUUUUUGUGUGCUGAAAACUGCUAUGUACUGUGUAGAGGCCCAUGAACUAAUGAAUUUGCUUUCUCUCCCU
rnacentral:lncRNA from 10 species